AGUGACGUCAAGUCAUCAUGGCCCUUACGGCCAGGGCUACACACGUACUACAAUGGUAGGGACAGAGGGCUGCAAGCCGGCGACGGUAAGCCAAUCCCAGAAACCCUAUCUCAGUCCGGAUUGGAGUCUGCAACUCGACUCCAUGAAGUCGGAAUCGCUAGUAAUCGCAGAUCAGCAUUGCUGCGGUGAAUACGUUCCCGGGCCUU
rnacentral:rRNA from 1 species